rnacentral:tRNA from 1 species
GACUCUGUAGCACAAUAGGUGGUGCGAUUAACUGUUAAUUAAUUGGUUGGGGAUUCGAGUUCCUCCAGAGUCGC